GAAGAACCAGGAAGUAACACCGGUGUCCUCAAAGAGAUCAGGACAACAUGGAUAAACUAGGAUAUCCACUUGUUAAUUUCUCUAUGGAAUGCAUCAUAUUGUUUAAAUCCAAAUUAGGGACAGACUGAACAUUCUUUGCAAUUCCACCUAUGUGCUGCAGCAGCUGACGGGAAGCCGACUUUGCCACAGCUGAAACCUUCUCUAAAAAGUACACUGAUAGAUCAUCAUUCAAGUUGGUUGAAUCCAGGGCAUCUUGGCAACAUUUCAGAUCUUUUGGCUGGCAGAAGUUGUUAAAAAAAUCAUGCGUCCAAGAAGAGAAAAAGAAUACUGUUGAAUUCACUAUUGAAGUUUAGAAAUGAGAAGAAAGGGAUGAUGUGCUGCAGGGGGAGAGCUGAGAAGGAAUGCCAUUAGAACAGAAAGAGGAAUUUGGAUACAAGUACUGGAAGUCAUAUAGCAAUUUGGGAGCAGGGUUCUUAAACACACAUGCACAUAGACACACAUAUACAACCCUAUUUAGCAACCUGUCGGGAUUUCUCCAUGAGAUUCUUAUUCUCGCAGCUCUCAGGCUAGGCCCCAUUAUAGGAACUGAUCAUAAUUCAUCUACUUCAAGCCUAUUUAUAUGAUUUGCACAAGUUCACAAAAACUUUGCCAAUUUGCCUGUGAAAUGCACAUGUCAAUUACCCUUCAAUGGUUCAACAACCCAGGACCCUGAGCCCACUGGCAUUUCACAGAGCACUGAGAGACUUUGUCUUCAGUCCACCCCAAAGUACCCCAGCCCUGCCAUCAAUAAUAACACAAAUGAGUUUCCUCAGAGUCAGACCAGGAGUGUCAGCAGUGAAUUGUUGGGGAGAUCUGGGAACUCCCCAUGGCUCCAUGGGUGUUCCUGAAUUUCACUCUCCAGGCUAUCACUUUUUCCAAGUUUCUUUAUUGCUCCAUUACCAGGAAAAAAACAGGGUGUUAAAAAGAGCCAGGCUGCUCUCACACCCCAAAUGACCUGUAGCAGAGUCAGCAACAGGCCAAAACAUGCACAAGAGUGAAGACGUUUUUCUUCCCCAGAUUUCUCCCUGCUGCUUGUGAAGUUGGAAGCACUGUUGCUGGCUCAGCGGGAAGAGGCAACAGUUGUCUUGUGCACCUGUGCCCUAAAUCUCCUCUACUGGUGAUGAGCCCUUUACAUCUCCAGGGAUGCAAUUUCCCCUCCCUCAAGUUUCUCCCUUCCAAUAGAACUUGUGUGUAUGAAAGCUGAAUUAACCACAUUCCGACUUCAGGAAUGCAACGGUCUCUUUCAAAAUGUUUCCAAAACAAGGGAGCAAUGGCAGCUAUUAAUCCAAGAACUUAGAUCCAACAAUUCUCUCCAAAAAUACAAAAUAACAAUUUUCAGCCCAGCAAGAAUGUAUGACAAGUAAAUUGAUUUAUGAAAAUGCAUUAGCAUUUUACACAGAAAAAAAUAAAGAUUUCUUAAAGAUAAACUGUAUUACUUGCAAGCUGCUUGCUUUCAGC
rnacentral:lncRNA from 1 species